rnacentral:rRNA from 1 species
UACAGAGGCCCCGAGCGUUACUGAGAAUCACUGGGUUUAAAGGGUGCGUAGGUGGCGCGUUAAGUCCGUUGUGAAAUCCCUUGGCUCAACCAAGGAAAUGCUUCGGAUACUGGCGUGCUUGAGGCUAGUAGGGGUCACUGGAACUGACGGUGGAGCGGUGAAAUGCGUAGAUAUCGUCAGGAACGCCGAUGGUGAAGACAGGUGACUGGGCUAGUUCUGACACUGAGGCACGAAAGCGUGGGGAGCGAACGG